rnacentral:rRNA from 1 species
UCGAGAAUCUUUUGCAAUGGGCGAAAGCCUGACAAAGCGACGCCGUGUGAGUGAUGAAGGCCUUCGGGUUGUAAAGCUCUUUCGCUUGGGAACAAGAGAAGUUGGCUAAUAUCCAGCUAAUUUGAGGGUACCAGGUAAAGAAGCACCGGCUAACUCCGUGCCAGCAGCUGCGGUAAUACGGAGGGUGCAAGCAUUAAUCGGAUUUAUUGGGCGUAAAGGGCGCGUAGGCGGAAAUGUAAGUCAUGUGUGAAAUCCCGGGGCUCAACCUCGGAACAGCACGUGAAACUACAUUACUAGAGGGAUGGCGGAGAAAAUAGAAUUCCACAAGUAGCGGUGAAAUGCGUAGAUAUGUGGAGGAAUACCAGUGGCGAAGGCGGUUUUCUAGCUAUUUCCUGACGCUGAGGCGCGAAAGCAAGGGGAUCAAACAGGAUUAGAUACCCCCGUAGUCC